rnacentral:rRNA from 1 species
UACGUAGGGUGCAAGCGUUAAUCGGAAUUACUGGGCGUAAAGCGUGCGCAGGCGGUGAUGUAAGACAGGUGUGAAAUCCCCGGGCUUAACCUGGGAACUGCAUUUGUGACUGCAUCGCUGGAGUGCGGCAGAGGGGGAUGGAAUUCCGCGUGUAGCAGUGAAAUGCGUAGAUAUGCGGAGGAACACCGAUGGCGAAGGCAAUCCCCUGGGCCUGCACUGACGCUGAAGCACGAAAGCGUGGGGAGCAAACAGG